UUGGGUGUCAGGCAUGCAGAUCCAUUUUCUGCCACCGAAUACAUUAGCAUGGGAUAAUGGAAUAGGACCCUGUCCUCCUAUUUUCAGUUGGUUUUGGCAGCGCGAGGACUAGGGUAAUGAUUAAUAGGGAUAGUUGGGGGCAUUAAUAUUUAAUUGUCAGAGGUGAAAUUCUUGGAUUUAUGAAAGAUUAACUUCUGCGAAAGCAUCUGCCAAGGAUGUUUUCAUUAAUCAAGAACGAAAGUUAGGGGAUCGAAGACGAUCAGAUACCGUCGUAGUCUUAACCAUAAACGAUGCCGACCAGCGAUUAGGAGACGUUGAAUACAAAACACCACCAUCGGCGCGGUCGUCCCUGGCUCGUCGUUUCACGACGGCGGGCGGGGGCGGUUUAGCCCGAUGGCACCGGUGAAUGACUCCCUAGCACCUUUGUGAGAA
rnacentral:rRNA from 1 species